GACAGAGGGUGCAAACGUUGUUCGGAAUUACUGGGCGUAAAGGGCUCGUAGGCGCCAACUAAGUCAGACGUGAAAUCCCUCAGCUUAACUGGGGGAACUGCGUCUGAUACUGGAUGGCUUGGAUUCGGGAGAGGAAUGCGGAAUUCCAGGUGUAGCGGUGAAAUGCGUAGAUAUCUGGAGGAACACCGGUGGCGAAGGCGGCAUUCUGGACCGACAUUGACGCUGAGGAGCGAAAGCCAGGGGAGCAAACGGG
rnacentral:rRNA from 1 species